rnacentral:lncRNA from 1 species
GGGUCUUAUGAUCUUUAGAUUUGAUUAAGGUUUCAAGAGCUAAAGGAUGGUAGUGGAUUAUUAUUCAAUACUUCUAUUUUUAUUUAUAAAAUUUUAUUUAAAAAAGAUGGGUAUUUGGUUGGAUAAUUUGAUAUCCAAUUGAAUUAGAUAUGGAUAAAAAAAAUAAUGAUCCACCAGAUCACAAGUUGGGUUCAAAUCUAAGUACUAAAAUAUCGGGUCGGUUAUGGAUCAACCCAAAUCUGCAUCCC